rnacentral:rRNA from 1 species
UACGUAGGGUGCGAGCGUUAAUCGGAAUUACUGGGCGUAAAGCGUGCGCAGGCGGUUUUGUAAGCCAGGUGUGAAAUCCCCGGGCUCAACCUGGGAAUGGCAUUUGGGACUGCAAGGCUGGAGUGCGGCAGAGGGGGGUGGAAUUCCACGUGUAGCAGUGAAAUGCGUAGAGAUGUGGAGGAACACCGAUGGCGAAGGCAGCCCCCUGGGCCAACACUGACGCUCAGGCACGAAAGCGUGGGGAGCAAACAGG